rnacentral:other from 1 species
AUUGUCCUGGGAAGUGCGACACUCUUGUUAAUUUUGAACCUACAAAUUAUUUAAGGGAUUCCUAUAUUUAUGCAGUGAUGUCAGGCCUCCUUCGAGUGGAAGGCAGAGGUGCAUGUGCGGUUGCCCACCUAGCGUAGCUAGGACUCAAAAUACCAAGAAACGGCUCCCCGGGACUUUU